AGUGGGAUAGCUGGGUCAAAUGGUGGCUCCAUUCCAAGUUUUCUAAGGAAUCUCCAUUGGUGCUUUCCAGAUUGGUUGCACCAAUUUGCAGUCCCACCAGCAAU
rnacentral:pre_miRNA from 1 species